AGUUCGGAUCGCAGGCUGCAACCCGCCUGCGUGAAGUUGGAAUCGCUAGUAAUCGCGGAUCAGCAUGCCGCGGUGAAUACGUUCCCGGGCCUUGUACACACCGCCCGUCACACCAUGAGAGUCGGGAACACCCGAAGUCCGUAGCCUGACCGCAAGGGAGGCGCGGCCGAAGGUGGGUUCGAUAAUUGGGGUGAAGUCGUAACAAGGUAUC
rnacentral:rRNA from 1 species